AGAAGAAGAGAGAAUAUUUCCACAGCUCCACAAGCUCUUUUCGGAUUGGCGAAAGCAUCAUAUUUGAAAUGUAUCAAGGAAUGACACAGAGACCUGACUCUGAGCUAGACAGUGAGCCAGAGCUGCCAGGAGAUGUCAUCGAGUCCCUCCCAACUGCGUCAAGCACCAGAUAUGCUGUUCCAAAAGGACCCAAUGACAUUUCAAGAUCCAGAGAAGUGGGUCUGGUACAGCCGUGUUUGAAAACAUUUCCCAGAACUCAGCAUGGCACUAGGAAAAGAGCUCCUGUUAUUAGGACAUUUAAUGGCUUGAAUAUUCUGUAAGUCAAGAUUCGACUUAAUGUUUCACUUGUAGGCAUUUUUUCUCUGCCCAAUACACCUGAAUCGGCCUUCACAUCCCAGUCAUGAUUUUUUAACUGGAAAAAGGCGCUGUUUAAAGAUUCUGGGUUUAAGCUCCAUUCAAAGGCAGAGCAUCAUAUCAAUACUAUGUAUGCUUGGAAUCAGCAUAAAUGGACUAUUGACAGCAACUCAUCAAUGUUAGAUGUCAUCAAUGAGGACCGUAAAAAAAAAAAAAGGAAAACUGCACUUAUAUUAAAACAAUUUCAGAUGUGCUUCUAUUAACUGCCACUCAAAAUAUAGCGCAGAGAGGUAAUCGAGUCUGAUGUUGCUCACAAAUAAACUUUGAUUUGAUGUUUAUCCUUUAAA